CGCGGGGUGGAGUAAAGGUAACUCACAAGGCUCAUAACCUUGGGAUACUCGUUCGAUUCGAGUCCCCGCAA
rnacentral:tRNA from 1 species